AACUUUGCACGGUGGUAAUACUGUACCCAAUGAGGUUUUUCUGAGGUGUGAUUAUUGCAAAUUGAAAACUUUUCCCAAUACCCAACCAUGACGACGAAAUAUGGUCGGCAUUGGCAAUUUUUGGCAGUCUUUAUGGAGA
rnacentral:snRNA from 1 species